rnacentral:lncRNA from 1 species
UUUUUUUCUUUCAGUUUAUUUAUUUUUAUUAAAAAUAUCAGGAGAUCUGACUAAAAAUACAUAUUUCAGGUGUCUCUGGAGAAAGCGGAAACUCAAGUCAACCUUGAAUGGGCACAACUGCUAGAGCUGACUGUGGCUGCUCAGUGUAGAAGGGGCUAUGCUCUCUCGUUUCCCACAAUCCCCUCUUACGUAUGUAUAUAUUGGGGGAGAGAGAGAGACAGAGAAUGAAGAGAGUGAGUGCAUGUAGAUGCACAAGAAUAAGAAAACAACAAUGAAAAUGAUAAAUAGCAUCAGUAAUUUAAGGUCUUCAUAUAGGCAUUUGCAAAGACAGAGCUGUGAUAGCAAACAUCUUGCUUAGCGCUCAAAAGAGAAAACAUUUCUGUCAUCCAGAAAUCUGCUUAUUUAUCUCUUAGG